rnacentral:rRNA from 1 species
CCUACGGGAGGCAGCAGUAGGGAAUCUUCGGCAAUGGACGGAAGUCUGACCGAGCAACGCCGCGUGAGUGAAGAAGGUUUUCGGAUCGUAAAGCUCUGUUGUAAGAGAAGAACGAGUGUGAGAGUGGAAAGUUCACACUGUGACGGUAACUUACCAGAAAGGGACGGCUAACUACGUGCCAGCAGCCGCGGUAAUACGUAGGUCCCGAGCGUUAUCCGGAUUUAUUGGGCGUAAAGCGAGCGCAGGCGGUUAGAUAAGUCUGAAGUUAAAGGCUGUGGCUUAACCAUAGUACGCUUUGGAAACUGUUUAACUUGAGUGCAGAAGGGGAGAGUGGAAUUCCAUGUGUAGCGGUGAAAUGCGUAGAUAUAUGGAGGAACACCGGUGGCGAAAGCGGCUCUCUGGCUUGUAACUGACGCUGAGGCUCGAAAGCGUGGGGAGCAAACAGGAUUAGAUACCCCAGUAGUC